UACGUAGGGUGCGAGCGUUGUCCGGAAUUAUUGGGCGUAAAGAGCUUGUAGGUGGUUUUGUCGCGUCUGCUGUGAAAAUCCGAGGCUCAACCUCGGACUUGCAGUGGGUACGGGCAGACUAGAGUGUGGUAGGGGGAGACUGGAAUUCCUGGUGUAGCGGUGGAAUGCGCAGAUAUCAGGAGGAACACCGAUGGCGAAGGCAGGUCUCUGGGCCAUUACUGACACUGGAGA
rnacentral:rRNA from 1 species